rnacentral:rRNA from 1 species
AGCGGCGAACGGGUGAGUAAUGCUUCGGAAUCUACCCAGUAGUGGGGAACAACCAGCCGAAAGGUUGGCUAAUACCGCAUACGUCCUACGGGGGAAAGCAGGGGAUCGUAAGACCUUGCGCUAUUGGAUGAGCCGAAGUCGGAUUAGCUAGUUGGUAGGGUAACGGCCUACCAAGGCGACGAUCCGUAGCUGGUCUGAGAGGACGACCAGCCACACUGGGACUGAGACACGGCCCAGACUCCUACGGGAGGCAGCAGUGGGGAAUAUUGGACAAUGGGGGAAACCCUGAUCCAGCGACGCCGCGUGUGUGAAGAAGGCCUGCGGGUUGUAAAGCACUUUUAGUGGGGAUGAAAAGCCCAGGGAUAACACCUCUGGGUCUUGACCUAACCCACAGAAAAAGCACCGGCUAACUCUGUGCCAGCAGCCGCGGUAAUACAGAGGGUGCAAGCGUUAAUCGGAAUUACUGGGCGUAAAGCGUGCGUAGACGGUUUCGUAAGUCGGGUGUGAAAGCCCCGGGCUCAACCUGGGAAUUGCAUUCGA